rnacentral:lncRNA from 1 species
CGAUCAUUUGCUCAUGAGGUGGUUUAGACAAUAGUUUAUGUUGAUCUUCAGGUAUACUGAUAUGGUUGUCUACUUAUUUUCCAGACCUUAAAGUAUGAAUUACAUUUAAUUGGUUGAUUUGGGCUCCUUGUUGUGGUCUUUGAUUGUUCUGGGUCCUAGGAUUAGCCUCGGAUUGACUCGGUAGUUUAUUUUUUUCUCUUUCACUUAUAGCCAUGGC